rnacentral:rRNA from 1 species
UACGAGGGGGGCGAGCGUUGUUCGGAAUUAUUGGGCGUAAAGGGUGCGUAGGCGGUUCGGUAAGUUUCGUGUGAAAUCUUCGGGCUCAACUCGAAGUCUGCCCGAGAUACUGCCGGGCUUGAGUGUGGGAGAGGUGAGUGGAAUUUCCGGUGUAGCGGUGAAAUGCGUAGAUAUCGGAAAGAACACCUGUGGCGAAAGCGGCUCACUGGACCAAAACUGACGCUGAGGCACGAAAGCCAGGGGAGCAAACGGG